UGGACUUGCACAUUCUAGUUUGAUUUCACUCUUACUACAAAUUUACUUUUAAAUCAUAUACAACAAAAAUCAGACCAGCUUCUUCUAGAAGCUCCCUGUAUAUUUUAUGUCAACUUCAGUGCUUUUGCUCAUGUUUUUCUCCUGUUUCCAGCUGAGGAGCAUGGGACAGAGUGAAAAAGAUUUGUACACACAAUGAAAGUUUAUAUUUCAGAACAUUUCUGGAGAGAAACAUCAGGAGCAGUUGAGAAAUCAGUAAGCCCUUUAGAAAUGAAGAGAAAUUCUGCUGAAUAGUUUUUUAAAGUCUUCUUCCAGAGUCAUCUGUGUCAUUAAAAAUGGUUUUUGUCUAAGUC